rnacentral:lncRNA from 1 species
UAGCAAAUAAACAAUUUUGUGGAAAUUUAAAAUUUAUCAUAAGCUUAGUAACAUGAUUUUGUGCAUUCAUGCUGAGACAUAUUUUAUUUUGUGUUGAUUGUAUUUAGUUUAUAUUUAAUUGUCCUCAAAAUCCUUUUUGAAAAAGGUUUUAAAAAAAAAUAAAACAAAACAGAAAAAAAAAAGAAAGGAAGCCUUCCAGGCCGAGGCCCAGCUCCCCUCCCCCGCGCCCCUCUGCCUUGGCUCGCUGACGAGCCGGCCCCGCAGCACAGCGCCUCCCCCUU